UUGUUUCUGGCUUUGGCAACACAUACACUAAAAUUAGAAUGAUACAGAGAAGUUUAGCACGGCCCUGGCACAAGGGUGACACACAAAGUCAUGAAGUGUUCCAUAUUUUU
ensembl:snRNA U6 U6 spliceosomal RNA